CCCGUUUGAUCAUGGCUCAGAUUGAACGCUGGCGGCAUGCUUUACACAUGCAAGUCGAGCGGCAGCGCGGGACUCGGGCAACCGAGCCCUGGCGGCGAGCGGCGAACGGGUGAGUAAUGCAUCGGAACGUGUCCCGUAAUGGGGGAUAACGCCGCGAAAGCGGCGCUUAUACCGCAAACGCUCUGAGGAGGAAAGUGGGGGACUUCGCAAGGAGCCUCACGUUAGGGGAGCGGCCGAUGUCCGAUUAGCUAGUUGGUGGGGUAAUGGCUUACCAAGGCUUCGAUCGGUAGCUGGUCUGAGAGGAUGAUCAGCCACACUGGGACUGAGACACGGCCCAGACUCCUACGGGAGGCAGCAGUGGGGAAUUUUGGACAAUGGGGGCAACCCUGAUCCAGCCAUGCCGCGUGCGGGAAGAAGGCCUUCGGGUUGUAAACCGCUUUUAGCCGGGAAGAAAAGGCCAUCCCUAACAGGGGUGGUUUUUGACGGUACCGGCGGAAUAAGCACCGGCUAACUACGUGCCAGCAGCCGCGGUAAUACGUAGGGUGCGAGCGUUAAUCGGAAUUACUGGGCGUAAAGCGUGCGCAGGCGGUUCGUUGUGUCGGUGGUGAAAGCCCCGGGCUUAACCUGGGAAUGGCCAUGGAAAACUGGCGAACUGGAGUGUGGCAGAGGGGG
rnacentral:rRNA from 1 species